CUUGCCUGGUAGAUAAACGGUACCUUUCUCAGCCAUCUGUCUUACAAAUGAUCCUAUAUAUACAGCUAUUAUUACCCUCAGACACUGGAAGCUCUGCAAUUGUUCAUGGCCUCAGUGAAGAAUAAUACCUGUCAUGCAGUUUAAAACACCUCAGAACUGUCCUGAAGAAGACUGCUGCUAAAAUUGCAAAUGGUUCUUUACCCAUUUGUGAGAAAACACUAAACUAGUCUGCUGCUUUUGACAGCAGACAAAAAGACAGCAACAGCUCAAAUAGAAAAGGUAUAAAUGAAACAGACAUUAAAUACCAUUCAGCACUUCCAGAUGAUGCACAAAACAGGAUGUAAUGAUGUGCUAUGAAGCAGAAGUUGAUUAGGGAAGUUACUAUUUAUAUAAAUUCAUGUCAUUACCUCAGUGGUAGUUGACCACUUCCAUGGGGGACUAACUUUGAAACAAGAGAAAGCCAUUUUUAAUCUGAGACAUUGCAAUCCUUUGUGAGUAGUAGACAGCACUCCUGUUCACUACCUGAAGUAGUGUGUAUCUGUAUCUUUAUAGAUGCCACAACUCAUAGCUGACGAACAAUUUUCUCAGUCAAAUAUUAUCCCUUCAGGAACAUACUAACAUAUAUUUUACUUAGAAAACCUAACAUACUGAAUCAGCAAACAUCCAUGCUUGAGCUUCUUCCAUGAAUCGAAGAUGACAAAGCCCUAUCAUCUCUUCCUUAAUUUAUACACAAGGCUGAUGAGUUAUGAAAGCAGUAACAUCAUAAAAAAUGACAUGGUGAAAUUGAUCUAAAAGAAUGUGCAAAAAUGAACUGAACAUUGUCUUUCUAUCCUAUAGGAUACACAUACAAUAACAACAGAAAAGAACUGACAAAUAGUUAUGUUCAAUCCACAACAAAAUGCUGUCCAGAUCAACUUAGCUUCUGAUCCACCAAAGAUCUAUUUUCUUUUACUAAAAAGGUUCAUACAUGUUGGGCAUUGGGUAUGUAUGGUAUUCAGCAUCUAUGGAUAACAUGAAUUCAAGCAAAACUCACCUAGUAACUAGAGUAAUUGAACAGUUGACAGUACUUGCCAACAAGAAAUUUUUGAGAUUACGAUCACAGGGAUCACAUUUAGGCCUGAAAAAAGAGAUGGCAGAAAAGGCAAUUCGAAUUGGAUAUGGCUCUUGUGCAAGCAGACGUCAUUUGAAUCCAAGGGAUUGCAUCUCUGUGUGUAGAAGAAUUCUACCUUUCUAGUUUUACUCUUAUAGGGUAAUUAAAAUUGUUUGUGCUUUGAAAAAAAAAAUCAAUAAAAUUAGAUAACCAAAAGAAGAUUUUAACAACUUGAGAAUAAGCAUUUCAUAGGAAUGCAAAGUAAAUUACCAGGAUUCUUUUUAACAUACACAGCCUUUAGGUAGGGUGCUAACUUCAACCUAUAGCAAUUAUUUUUUUGAAUCUGCUUAGAAAGGAAAUGCUUUAACCUAGUUUCCACUACUCUUUUAAUUACUGUACUCCAGAGAAAAUUUUAAUCACUAUAGGGGAAAAUAAUUUUUAUUCAGUUUUGCUAAGAUUCAAUAUAAUUUUGCUAGAGUGAAAUACAAAAACCUAACUCAAGAAAAAUUCAUAUUUUGAAUAGAGAACUCAAACAAUCCAAACACAGUUUUCACCACAGUAAAGUAUUUAAUGACAAAAAUCAGGGUUUCCAGUAGUGAGUCAAGAGAGCAGGUCCCACUUUUUUUUUUUUUUCUCUCCCCAGAAUGGCACAAAAUAAUUUCUACAUCUUUGAGAACUUCCAAGGAAUUGGUUACAAUAGAUAUCAGCAAGUAUUACAAUUCUGGCAAAUCAUGGCAAAACCUACCUACCUUUAAGAUCAGUUUUAAGAGCACGCAUUUUUGUUAAUAUUUCACAUAAUACACAACUUUUGCUAGACACAAAAAUAACCUUUUAAGACAGAGUUUGCAGUACAGCAGUCAAGUCUAACAAUACAUUAUUUUUAUUCUGUUCAGAACUUUAAAAAGAUAAAGAAACUAAUAAUAUUGUUACAAUUUACAAAUACAUUCUUUCAUAUGAAACAAUAACCUGAAUCAUAGUAUAUGUUAUGUACACAACUAUCUAAUAAUACUAGGUUCUAUACACUACAAGCGAAGUUCCAGAAGGAAACUGCAAUGCUCUAAGAUUUACCUUUGGAUAAACAUUUAUACACCUUGAUUUUUUUCCCUAAAAACUACCAAAACUUGUAGUUUAAUGAACAGAAAGAACAAAGUAAACAGACAAACCACUUUUCCUUCAUUCAGAAGACUUAGGUUAUCUAAAGCUCCCAUAGUAAAUGGCUUUUGAUGGUUGGAUUAAAGUCCUGAGUUAUGAUAAAAAUCAUACACUUAACUGGAAGAUACAAAACAACCCAAAAUGCUGAAAAGCUCAGGUGGGACUAAAGCAAUGUUUUAGCACAGUUUAGCUCACAUGAGGUCUGGAACUUAGCAGUGCAAUUAUGAUCUUGUCCUGUCCAGCUGAUAUUUAUGUAAACAUAUAUGCCUUUUUAUCUAAAUUUAGACAACUUAUUAUUUUCAGGUAUAUAAGACCUGGGUUUUAGACAUUUCUUCUAAUUAUUUGCAAGCAUAGAGGACAUUCUGGCUUGAUGACAGCAGCUCAGAAUCUACUUCCUUCUCUCGAGAGAAAGCCUUGAGAGGUUAGCAGCAGAAAAUAGUUUUAAAAGAAUGGAAAAUAUGACAAGAUAGCUUUGUGGUCAAAAAGGUUCUCCCUGACUGAUUUAUAAUCCAUCUUCAAAAAAAAAUAGCCUAACAUUUUGUAUCUAGCAGAAGUGUAAUUUCGGUUUAAAAACCAGAGACUUUUUCCCUGGUUAAUCGCAGAAAUACCCAGACAUUACAAUAGCAUUCAGACAUUUCCGGGGCAAGCAUUACUUACACAUAGCUCAACAGAGUGUUCAGAACAUGCGUUGUUAAUUAACCUGUUCUGAUUUAUAACAGAUGUGGCCAAAUUCCCUUUCAGUAGGUGCUAGAUUUGGUAACUGUUGGAGCUGGUGCUAAAUAGAGCUAAAUGAUCCUAUGGUACUACACAAAUGACCCAUUCUCUCAACUCCUCAUGUGAAAUUAAAUAAAAAAG